GGGGAAGAGCUGUGGUUCAGUGGCAGAGCUGCUGCUUGGCACGCAGAAGGUUCCCGGUUCAAUCCCCAGCAUCCCCA